rnacentral:lncRNA from 1 species
UCUUUCCAGUCUGUCUGAAUGAAGGUGAGGAGUGGUUUAUAAUGUUGAAUGUGUCCAAAGUAUGUGACUGCUCUAGGCUAGCAAACAGCUUACUGUGAGAUGGAUAAGAGGAUGCGUUUGCCACCACAAUCCUUAGCAGAAGGACAGCUGGAGAUUUAGCUGAUGAAAUAGCUAUUCUGGAUAAACAAAGAUGGUACAAGACAGAGGGAAGAGUGAGGUGACCAUCAGGAGAGGAUAGAGAAGAUCUCCUUAGGAAUCCAAGGUGCAGUGGGUCCAGAGAGUAAGAGCUGGGGUAAGAAGAGACUGAUUUCAUUAAACUGGAACAUGUUACUAAAAAUGGCUCAAAACCCAUAGAGAGAUGCAGUGCCUCGUUUGGUGAGAGGGCAUUCCAUGAAUUUCACCAUUCCCCUGAGAUUCCUAGGCUCCAGGGUUUGUCUGCUUUAUAGGGUUUUAGAGAAAGUAAAAUUCUGAU